CUGUCACUUGGAGUAGAACCUCCUGUGAGAGAGAGUUCUACUUGGAGAUCUACUGGCAGUUCGACUUGGAAUGGAGGCUGAUUAAAGAAUCUGCUGACUGGACUGGCACGAAAUCCUGUGUCAGCUUGCUGGGUGAGUGACGGAGAUUCUUGCCUUGGCUUUUUGGAAGAGGCUGUGUUGGUAGAACCCUGGCUGAAGACACCACUGGGACUUCUGGCUGAGGAUUACCAGACUGGGGCAGAACUUGGCUUCUCAGGAGAAGGACUGAAUAUGACUAUCCAGUUUUGAAGAGUCCAGAGGAUUUUGGAAUUCCCAUUUGUCCAUUAUUAUCUCAAAUAUCUUCCUCAAAUCCAGUUACCAGCACUAUCUGAAUGACGAACUCAACCAAGAUGGAUGAAGAUUCAUCGUGCUUACAAAUUCCAUGAAUAGGGGAAAAAUGACUUCCAGCCACCAGAAACUAUGAGUUGUCCCUUUGCCACUUGUGCUGAUUAAACUUAAGCCUACCCAACACUA